GAUGAACGCUGGCGGCGUGCCUAAUACAUGCAAGUCGAGCGAUCAGACGAGGAGCUUUCUCCUCUGACGUUAGCGGCGAACGGGUGAGUAACACUUGGAUAACCUACCUAUAAGACUGGGUUAACUUCGGGAAACCGGAGCUAUUACCGGAUAAUAUAUUGAACCGCAUGGUUCAAUAGUGAAAGACGGUUUUGCUGUCACUUAUAGAUGGAUCCGCGCCGCAUUAGCUAGUUGGUAAGGUAACGGCUUACCAAGGCAACGAUGCGUAGCCGACCUGAGAGGGGGAUCGGCCACAAUGGAACUGAGAAGAGGUCCAGACUCCUACGGGAGGCAGAAGUAGGGAAGCGUCCGCAAUGGGCGAAAGACUGACGGAGCAACGCCGCGGGAUUGAUGAAGGUCUUCGGAUCGUAAAACUCUGUUAUUAGGGAAGAACAAAUGUGUAAGUAACUAUGCACGUCUUGACGGAACCUAAUCAGAAAGCCACGGCUAACUACGUG
rnacentral:rRNA from 1 species